rnacentral:rRNA from 1 species
UCAUUAUCGAAAUCCAUAGAGAGGGAGGAGGGGAGGGGAAAGAUGGAAAGUGAAAUGACUGUCGCUGGUCCCUUUGCUAUUUGCUGUUUGGGGGGCAUGUGCACGUCUUGCAUUUUCAUUGACCUUUCUCUCUCUCACUCUCUCAUGACACAACACCUGUGCACCUAUUGUAGGCCCUCGCAAGAGGACCUAUGUAUUUUACAUCACACACAUCGCAUGUCUAGAAUGUAUUGAGAACCGUCGAUCCAUCGAAAGAUGGGUGGGGCGGUCGAGAUGGAAAUCAUACAACUUUCAGCAACGGAUCUCUUGGCUCUCGCAUCGAUGAAGAACGCAGCGAAUUGCGAUAAGUAAUGUGAAUUGCAGAUUUUCAGUGAAUCAUCGAAUCUUUGAACGCACCUUGCGCUUCUUGGUAUUCCGAGAAGCAUGCCUGUUUGAGUGUCAUUGAAUUCUCAACCAUGUCUUGAUUGAUUUUCGAGGCAUUGGCUUGGAGUUGGGGGUUGCUGGCGGCGAGAAGCCAUCAGCUCUCCUGAAAUGCAUUAGCGAAAGGGGUUGCAAGUCUUACCUGGACGUGCACGGCCUUUGACGUGAUAACGAUCGUCGUGGGCUUGGAGCGUCUUGACUGGGAGUCCCUUCUGAUCGCUUCUAAUUCCCUUAUGGAACCGGCUUUGGAUUGGAUUGGCUUGACUUUACUAGUUGGUCUCGACGAACGGUCAGGUCCGAAAACUUCCUAGGCUGGGUCUGUCUUUGAAAUCUUGACCUCAAAUCAGGUAGGACUACCCGCUGAACUUAAGCAUAUCAAUA